GAGGGUAUAGCUCAGUGGCUAAGCAUGUGCUUAGCAUGCACAAGGCCCUGGGUUCAAUCCCCAGUACCUCCA
rnacentral:tRNA from 1 species